UGAAGGGACGUCGUUUGUGUAGCCGAAAAAAAAAAUUUCCUUCAAUUCUUUUAGAUGUUGAUGGAAUAGCCAGUGUUUUUUUUUUUUUGAAUUUGGGCUAGGAUCUUUUUCUUUAGUUGUAUGAAGCCCAAUUGUUCAAAUUAAAUGAAGUCAUUUGUGAAGCCCAAAACCAAUUCUUCCUAAUUCUAUUUUGCAGCCCAAUUUUACUUCAAAUCUUUUCACCUCCCAACAUCACACGGUUCACCAACAUCCCUACAUCCCUGAAAAAUCUCCAACCAAAAUAUGUCAUCUCCGUAUAUUUGCUUCAACUGCACAAUGCAGUUUCCUCAUUCCUCCAAAACAAAAGAAAAAAGAAGAGGCACACUGUGAAUUCAACAUCCAUUCUGCCGUAUUUUCUUUCUUCCACAAAGUUGAGAAGAAAUAGUUAGAGUAAGAGAGCCGAGAGUCCUUCAAAUUGUUUUCCUGCAACUCUUUGCAAUAAAGGGUGAACUUUUGCACGCCAUUUGAGGUUGGGACAUAAAGUUUGUUGAGGAGCUAAGCUUGCGAGGUUGAGCUGUGACUAGCGCGGUGGGUGUUGAGCAGAGCUGUUGAAGAUUUGCCUUUGUUUUAAAUUUCCGAAUAUAUUGUGUCUUCAUACAUAAUAUUAUUCUUCUCUCGAAUGCUUCCGCUAAAUAUUGUUUCGUUUGAGUUCGUGUAUUGUUGAGAUAUUUUCAGUUGGAGUUGUUGAUUGUUGCAAUGA